rnacentral:rRNA from 1 species
ACGGAAGGCAGCAGUGGGGGAUAUUGCACAAUGGGGGGAACCCUGAUGCAGCGACGCCGCGUGAGUGAAGAAGUAUUUCGGUAUGUAAAGCUCUAUCAGCAGGAAAGAUAAUGACGGUACCUGACUAAGAAGCACCGGCUAAAUACGUGCCAGCAGCCGCGGUAAUACGUAUGGUGCAAGCGUUAUCCGGAUUUACUGGGUGUAAAGGGAGCGCAGACGGCAUGGCAAGCCAGAUGUGAAAGGUGGGGGCUCAACCCCCAAGCUGCAUUUGGAACUGUCAAGCUAGAGUAUAGGAGAGGUAAGUGGAAUUCCUAGUGUAGCGGUGAAAUGCGUAGAUAUUAGGAGGAGCACCAGUGGCGAAGGCGGCUUACUGGACGAUAACUGACGUUGAGGCUCGAAAGCGUGGGGAGCAAACAGGAUUAGAUACCCUGGUA